CCUAACCAUGCAAGUCGAACGGAUCCUUCGGGAUUAGUGGCGGACGGGUGAGUAACACGUGAGUAACCUGCCCUUGACUCUGGGAUAAGCACUGGAAACGGUGUCUAAUACCGGAUAUGACAGCCGAUCGCAUGGUCUGGUUGUGGAAAGAUUUUUUGGUCAAGGAUGGACUCGCGGCCUAUCAGCUAGUUGGUGAGGUAAUGGCUCACCAAGGCGACGACGGGUAGCCGGCCUGAGAGGGUGACCGGCCACACUGGGACUGAGACACGGCCCAGACUCCUACGGGAGGCAGCAGUGGGGAAUAUUGCACAAUGGGCGAAAGCCUGAUGCAGCAACGCCGCGUGAGGGACGACGGCCUUCGGGUUGUAAACCUCUUUUAGUAGGGAAGAAGCUGGGCUUGCCUGGUGACGGUACCUGCAGAAAAAGCACCGGCUAACUACGUGCCAGCAGCCGCGGUAAUACGUAGGGUGCAAGCGUUGUCCGGAAUUAUUGGGCGUAAAGAGCUCGUAGGCGGUUUGUCGCGUCUGCUGUGAAAACUGGAGGCUCAACCUCCAGCCUGCAGUGGGUACGGGCAGACUAGAGUGCGGUAGGGGAGAUUGGAAUUCCUGGUGUAGCGGUGGAAUGCGCAGAUAUCAGGAGAAACACCAAUGGCGAAGGCAGAUCUCUGGGCCGUAACUGACGCUGAGGAGCGAAAGCAUGGGGAGCGAACAGGAUUAGAUACCCUGGUAGUCCAUGCCGUAAACGUUGGGAACUAGAUGUAGGGGCCAUUCCACGGUUUCUGUGUCGCAGCUAACGCAUUAAGUUCCCCGCCUGGGAGUACGGCCGCAAGGCUAAAACUCAAAGGAAUUGACGGGGCCCGCACAAGCGGCGGAGCAUGCGGAUUAAUUCGAUGCAACGC
rnacentral:rRNA from 1 species